rnacentral:rRNA from 1 species
UGGGGAAUAUUGGACAAUGGGCGAAAGCCUGAUCCAGCCAUGCCGCGUGUGUGAAGAAGGUCUUCGGAUUGUAAAGCACUUUAAGUUGGGAGGAAGGGCAUUAACCUAAUACGUUAGUGUUUUGACGUUACCGACAGAAUAAGCACCGGCUAACUCUGUGCCAGCAGCCGCGGUAAUACAGAGGGGGCAAGCGUUAAUCGGAAUUACUGGGCGUAAAGCGCGCGUAGGUGGUUUGUUAAGUUGGAUGUGAAAUCCCCGGGCUCAACCUGGGAACUGCAUUCAAAACUGACUGACUAGAGUAUGGUAGAGGGUGGUUGAAUUUCCUGUGUAGCGGUGAAAUGCGUAGAUAUAGGAAGGAACACCAGUGGCGAAGGCGACCCCCUGGACUAAUACUGACACUGAGGUGCGAUAGCGUGGGGAGCAAACA